UUCCUUGCAGUUUAUUUUUGGCAUCAUGAUACUGUGUCUUCAGAGCCUUUUCAACUUGAUUGCGUUGAGCGCUCUGCAAUGGUACAUUUAAUCCGCAGUGCUCGACCUGAUUAUAGAGCGAUCAACCUAAUCAAGUCGAGAAGGUUCUUAAGACACGGUACAAUGAUGCCAAAAAUAAACUGCAUGGAA
rnacentral:pre_miRNA from 1 species